ensembl:snRNA U7 U7 small nuclear RNA
AAGUGUUACAGCUCUUUUAGAAUUUGUCUAGCAGGUUUUCUGGUUUUUUACCGGAAACUGCCCCC